UACGGGGGGGCAAGCGUUGUUCGGAAUUACUGGGCGUAAAGGGCUCGUAGGUGGCCAACUAAGUCAUACGUGAAAUCCCUCGGCUUAACCGGGGAACUGCGCCUGAUACUGGUUGGCUUGAGUUUGGGAGAGGGACGCGGAAUUCCAGGUGUAGCGGUGAAAUGCGUAGAUAUCUGGAGGAACACCGGUGGCGAAGGCGGCGUCCUGGACCAAUACUGACACUGAGGAGCGAAAGCCAGGGGAGCAAACGGG
rnacentral:rRNA from 1 species